rnacentral:rRNA from 1 species
UACAGAGGAUGCAAGCGUUAAUCGGAAUGACUGGGCGUAAAGCGUGUGUAGGUGGUAGGAUAAGUUAGAUGUGAAAUCCCUGGGCUCAACCUGGGAACUGCAUUUAAGACUAUUCGACUAGAGUACUGUAGAGGAUAGUGGAAUUUCCAGUGUAGCGGUGAAAUGCGUAGAUAUUGGAAGGAACACCAGUGGCGAAGGCGACUAUCUGGAUAGAUACUGACACUGAGACACGAAAGCGUGGGGAGCAAACAGG